AUAGGUAUGAUGAAAUUGGUAAACAUAUUAGAUUUAGGAUCUAAUAACUUAUAAAGUUAUGAGGGUUCGAGUCCCCCUACCUAUA
rnacentral:tRNA from 1 species